UACGGAGGGUGCAAGCGUUGUUCGGAAUCACUGGGCGUAAAGCGCGUGUAGGCGGCCUUCUUAGUCUGGUGUGAAAGCCCGGGGCUCACCCCCGGAAGUGCAUUGGAUACUGGAAGGCUGGAGUACCGGAGAGGAGGGUGGAAUUCCUGGUGUAGCGGUGAAAUGCGUAGAUAUCAGGAGGAACACCGGUGGCGAAGGCGGCCCUCGUGGACGGAUACUGACGCUGAGACGCGACAGCGUGGGGAGCAAACAGG
rnacentral:rRNA from 1 species